GUAUGAAGCAUUAAUCGUACUCUGGUCAGUAUUAUCAGAUCCCUCUACGGAUGGAAUUUCAGUUUGAGCUUCGAAAUUUAACGCAAAGCGCCUUCUUCGAGAUGCUGCCGGCCUUCCAGGGAAGUCCCUACGAGAGCUGCAAGGUGGCGUAGUCUCGUUUUGUCCUGGCUCUAUACCCAAUAGAGAAGAGUUAUUCAUUAGAUGGUCCCUACAACUUCUACUCCUAG
rnacentral:misc_RNA from 1 species